rnacentral:rRNA from 1 species
GAAGGGUCUGCCGCGCGGCCGGCUUAGCAAUCUGGCCAGCGUGGCGAGCGAAAGAGAUGUACAUCCGGGUGGUGGCUUGCUGGUAGAUGGAAUAGAGAAGUCCCUGUUGUGGUAGGUGAGUAAGAAACGAGCACAUAGAGGAGAUGGCGUUGGAGGAGGCGAGCGGAGAAAAGAAGGAGAGAACAUCUACGAACGCGAACGCGGAGGGGGUGGCCGCUGGCCGACACGGCGGCCUGUACCGGUGGCGCGGAAGGGGUGGCACCGACGGGGGUGGGGCGGGGGAGUGCGGGGUGGUCGCUGGUCGCGACGUUUGGUUGUGGGUGGCCACGACGGCUACCGCCGCUCUUCAUUAUCUCUCGGCGCCGCCGGCUGCAACUCCGCAACGUUGGUGCCACUGUUCACUACCUCUAGGUAGUAAAAGAAAAGAACUUUCGUCGGGGUUAAAAAUGACGUCUGCGGGAACUAAAAACGAUCUUGGUCAUGUACUGCGACGCAACUGUUACCGCCGCUCGGCCUCUGCCCCUGCGGUCCCUACGAGGUUGGUACUACUGUCGCGCGACCUUGGGAGGACACAAACUCAACGUUGGUACUGCUCGUCUCCGUCGGUUCCGUUCACAGUCCGUUCGCCGUACGCUCGCACCCACUGCCCGCACCACCGCGCCACCUUUCGUUCGUGCCCUUCUGCUCCUGAUAGCGCCCGCCGCUCGUGUAUCUAGACCGUACACGCGAGCGACAGGAAAAAAAAGCACAAAGGACACGCACAAAAAAAAAGACGCACAAACUGAAAAUUUUGUUUCGUUAGUCUGCCACCCCUUGCCUACAUAGCCCGCCGACCCCGAACUGGCCGGCUUGUCAAGCCGUCCACGCGGCCGCGGAUAUUCGCGGGAAAAGGAAAGGGAAAAUAAAGAAAGAAGACAGGCGCCCACAAAAAAAGCCCAAACGACCAGUAAAAGACAUACAAAAAUAAAUCAAAAAGAAAUAAGAAAGAAAAGGGAAAUAAACAUAAGAAUUUAUUCGCCGGAAAAAAAAUUUCAAAUCAAUUGUUCGAGUACACACAGAUUAUUGGUCCCGAGGCGGAGGAGGAAGAGGAGGUUCUUUCUUUUAAUCCCAAGCACGGAGAGCGGCCGCGGCCGCGUCCAGGCGGAGCAGAGGCCACCGGGAUCCAGGUACCUCCGCGCCACCUAGGACCGUUCCCGGCCGCCCUCCCGAAGCAAAAAUCAGAAAAAAAGUUAGAACAAUUCCAAACACAGGAUGAGUCCUUCCGCUCUGCCGCCGCCGAGAGACUUCUACCUUAUUUCCAGAGGGGCGGAUCGGGAGCAAGGCCGCCACACAGAUCGUAGCAACCACCCGCACACCUCUACACAGAGGUCGUCUAGAUAGAAACCACCUAAACGAGCCUAGAGCAGCAACAAGUAGAUGCAAGCACACAGAAGCCAAACCUAGGAAGGCUAGAUGCAAUAAAAAGUAGCUGCCGCCAACGACAAGACCCCACGACCAGGACACCCCGGAAUCGUGCUGCUGAAGAGCUGACAGAUGAUGUUGUUCAACACGGGCCGAGGCCGCUACCUCCCCGCUACUGCCGCCGUGCGGAAACCGAGCGAAGCCACGAACAUCAGCAGCGAUCCACCAGAUGCUUAGACCUACAUUAAAAAUAAAGACCAUAAGCAACAUGACGGUACUAACUUCUACUUAUCUAACCUUCAAAAGGCGUUUUUUUAUUCGCCGGAAAAAUUUUU